AGCUCCAAUAGCGUAUAUUAAAGUUGUUGCAGUUAAAAAGCUCGUAGUUGGAUCUCGGGCGUGGUGUCCACCGGUCGGCCGCAAGGUUUGUUUUACUGGUGCACCGUGCUCUUCUUGCAGAGACGUCUGUGUGCACUUCGUUGUGUGCGCUUACGCAUUUGCAACGUUUACUUUGAAAAAAUUAGAGUGUUCAAAGCAGGCACGUACGUGGCUUGAAUACAUGAGCAUGGAAUAAUGGAAUAGGACUUCGUUUUUCCUAUUUUGUUGGUUUCUCGGAACGAAGUAAUGAUUAAGAGGGACAGUUGGGGGCAUCCGUAUUUCGUUGUCAGAGGUGAAAUUCUUGGAUUUACGAAAGACGAACAACUGCGAAAGCACUUGCCAAGAGUGUUUUCAUUAAUCA
rnacentral:rRNA from 1 species